rnacentral:lncRNA from 1 species
CUCGAUUUGAUAUACUAAUGAUGAUCGCAUGAUUAUCGAAACGAUAAAAUGACUGAAGAUUUUUUUUUUGAGAGGAUCAUUAAUGCCUGCAAUUGAAAUGACCAUAGAAUCAAGGCUCAAAUUCAUGACAGCAGAUAUGCUCACUCCCAUCAUCCAACAUAUCAAGUCAUUUUGGACUUGGGAGUGGGAGACAACUGUUGGGACAAUCGGAUCUGCUCUCCUCGAUACAGGGUUGGUUCUCCGACUCAACAUUGGCCACAGAUGUCGGACCAUCAAAAAUAACUACCAGAGGAGUUACUGGUUUGACUAUUGCAUCUACAGGGUUCAUCACCCCGACAUUCUAUCGCUGUCACGGAACAUGAAGAAUGGCCGACUAUCUAUUGGUAAGCCGACUUCCUAUCAGUAACCCCCGAUCAUCUUCUCAAGCGGCAACUUAUCCAAACGACUUGAUACACUAUACUACUGAUGACUCUUCGAUACAA